rnacentral:rRNA from 1 species
UACGAAGGGGGCUAGCGUUGUUCGGAAUCACUGGGCGUAAAGCGCACGUAGGCGGAUCUUUAAGUCAGGGGUGAAAUCCCGAGGCUCAACCUCGGAACUGCCUUUGAUACUGGGGAUCUCGAGUCCGGGAGAGGUGAGUGGAACUGCGAGUGUAGAGGUGAAAUUCGUAGAUAUUCGCAAGAACACCAGUGGCGAAGGCGGCUCACUGGCCCGGAACUGACGCUGACGGUGCGAAAGC